rnacentral:rRNA from 1 species
UACGUGAGGGUGCGAGCGUUCGGAUCCGGAAUCACUGGGCGUAAAGGGCGCGUAGGCGGCCUGAUAAGUAGGGGGUGAAAUCCUGGAGGCUUAACCUCAGGGCUGCCUUCUAAACUGUCAGGCUCGAGCACAGUAGAGGCAGGUGGAAUUCCCGGUGUAGCGGUGGAAUGCGUAGAGAUCGGGAAGAACAUCAGUGGCGAAGGCGGCCUGCUGGGCUGUUGCUGACGCUGAGGCGCGACAGCGUGGGGAGCAAACAGG